rnacentral:rRNA from 1 species
UCGAGCGGAGUUUAUCCUUCGGGGUAAGCUUAGCGGCGGACGGGUGAGUAACACGUAGGCAACCUACCCUCUAGACUGGGAUAACUACCGGAAACGGUAGCUAAUACCGGAUAAUUCCUUGACCCUCCUGGGUUUGGGAUGAAAGGCGGAGCAAUCUGCUGCUAGAGGAUGGGCCUGCGGCGCAUUAGCUAGUUGGUGGGGUAACGGCCUACCAAGGCGACGAUGCGUAGCCGACCUGAGAGGGUGAACGGCCACACUGGGACUGAGACACGGCCCAGACUCCUACGGGAGGCAGCAGUAGGGAAUCUUCCGCAAUGGGCGAAAGCCUGACGGAGCAACGCCGCGUGAGUGAUGAAGGUUUUCGGAUCGUAAAGCUCUGUUGCCAGGGAAGAACGUCCGGUAGAGUAACUGCUGCCGGAGUGACGGUACCUGAGAAGAAAGCCCCGGCUAACUACGUGCCAGCAGCCGCGGUAAUACGUAGGGGGCAAGCGUUGUCCGGAAUUAUUGGGCGUAAAGCGCGCGCAGGCGGCUGCUUAAGUCU